GGCACUUUGGCGGAGUGGUUAACGCGAUGCCCUGCUAGUUUUAGUAGGAAGGCAUUCCCUUCGGGGGCGUGUGUUCGAAUCACACAGGUGUCG